rnacentral:tRNA from 1 species
UCAUUCUUAGCUUAGUUGGUAGAGCAUGGUGUUUGCAAUGCCAGGGUUGUGGGUUCGAUUCCCACGGGGGGAC